rnacentral:lncRNA from 1 species
CUUUGAAGAUUAAUAUGUUUAUUAAGUCAGAGAAACUACUACAAUUAUGAAAAAUCUAAUAAUCUUACAUUAUUUAACAAAUGCAUUUACCAUUAAGAAAACAAAUACAACUAUAAAUUAGUUAUACAUAAUGAUACAGGAUGCACCAAAUGUUAUUGGUUCAAUACACAGUAAACUUUUCAUUCUUUCUUAACCAAUGGGAGUCCAGAACCAUCACAAGUAAAGGACCUUUGCUUUGGUUUCGAUUCAGAAUUUUAUGAUCAUUUUGGCGAUGGAUCUAGU